AAUCAACGCUGGCGGCGUGCCUAACACAUGCAAGUCGAACGAGAAAGUGGAGCAAUCCAUGAGUAAAGUGGCGACCGGGUGAGUAACACGUGACUAACCUACCUCCGAGUGGGGAAUAACUCCGGGAAACCGGGGCUAAUACCGCAUAACAUCGCGAGAUCAAAGCAGCAAUGCGCUUGGAGAGGGGGUCGCGGCUGAUUAGCUAGUUGGCGGGGUAAUGGCCCACCAAGGCGAAGAUCGGUAUCCGGCCUGAGAGGGCGCACGGACACACUGGAACUGAAACACGGUCCAGACUCCUACGGGAGGCAGCAGUGGGGAAUUUUGCGCAAUGGGGGAAACCCUGACGCAGCAACGCCGCGUGGAGGAUGAAGCCCUUUGGGCGUAAACUCCUUUCGACCAAGACGAUAAUGACGGUACUGGUGGAAGAAGCACCGGCUAACUCUGUGCCAGCCGCCGCAGU
rnacentral:rRNA from 1 species